rnacentral:lncRNA from 1 species
UUGCUUUGAGAUAUAGAGUUCUACAUAGCUUUAUUCUUGUAUUUAAGUGGUGGGUAUGCCUGAAAGGUAGGUUGUUCCAUCAAAUUUCUAUAUGGAACUCUACACGACUACACCAAACAGGUAAACAGUACAAACAUAAUUAUUUUGCAUUCUGGCAAAGUGAGAAUUAUUUAUUUGUAGGCCGGUGUGAAAACGAACAAGAGAAAGAUGCCCUAGUGGCCUAGUACAUAUUGUAAGCUAGCAUUUCCAUGCAUCAAGUGAUGAAGAAGACAUUGGUAGGUAGGAAUGUGGGAUGCUUUUCCAUCAACAUGAUCUUAUUUAACAAGUUGAUCAGUGUGGUAGGAAGACAAAGGCAAGUCUGAGUUAUUCUUCUGUCUUUAUCAUUUCACUUGCUAAGCCUAGCCUCUUCAUUACAACAAAGCUUUUCACCAAGCUCGUUCAUUAGUUGUGUCUCGCUGCAGUGUGAAAAAAAUGCUAACCAUGAACCAUGGAAUACUUACUUGUUAAAGUGAGAAUGAUGCUGGGAAUGGGUGGUACCGGGAAAAUAAACACAAUGAAAGCCCUGAAUUGAUGUUUCCUAUAGCAGGAUCUGGUGGUUACAUUUCUCCAGGUCAGUCAUUGUAAUUUCGAUUCUAUAUCUACUGAUCGAUUUAUAGUUAUUGUGGCUCACAAGGGAAAUGGUUCGCUUUAAUUUAUAGUUUCCGAUCCAGUUUGCUUGUUUCAUUCUAAUUUUGAUGACUCAGUCUUAAUGCUCACCAAAAUAUAUAUAUAAUUUGCUCGUUUCUUAGUUUUGGUUGAUUCUAUAUGUAUUUCCUACUAACAAAAAUGACCAUCCCAAACACCGGGGUGGAAACAGGCAGUACUCUCAAGGCGUAUAACCUGAUCUACUUUAGAAUGCAACGGCAAGGUGGAAUCAUGUUUGCGCUCUUUGUGAGGUCCCAUUCUUGAAAUAAUUUGGAAUUAUUGUGUCAUCAAGAGUUGGUUUCUUCUACUGCCAAAUACAGUCUUGAUUCAGCUUGAUUCAGCUUUCAAAGCAGAGAUUCGACAUAUAUGGAUAUGAAGUAGAGGUACUCGAGAUGUUAACAGGCGAACGGGCAACAUAAUUUGGUGAGCUAGGAUAGACCAUCACUAUAUGAUUGUGAACAUAGAAUCCUUGUUCCAAUGAAUUGUUGGAACAACUUAAUCAUAAAAUUGCAGAUAUGCUGAAGUGAAUUAUAUGUAACAGGGUGGUUAGUAAAUUGUUGCAGAACAAGUUUUCAUUAUUAGUUUUUUUUGCUUUAUAUAUCUUUCUUAUUAUA